AUCGACGACAUCAGCCUGCUGAUGAGCUCCCACACGAAUUGCUUGAUUCACUUGUAUAAAGACGAUGCUGUAACGCGACCCUGUUGUAGGUCUGUAGCUCAGUUGGUUAGAGCGCACCCCUGAUAAGGGUGAGGUCGGCAGUUCAAAUCUGCCCAGACCUACCAUUACACGGUUUAGCCGUAGAAUACGGGGCCAUAGCUCAGCUGGGAGAGCGCCUGCCUUGCACGCAGGAGGUCAGCGGUUCGAUCCCGCUUGGCUCCACCACUUUCGCCGUACGCAGUAGCUUGUCAGAACUUAGAAAUGAACAUUCGUUGAUGAAUGUUGAUUUCUGACUUUUGUCAGAUCGUUCUUUAAAAAUUCGGAUAUGUGAUAGAAAUAGACUGAACACCAGUUUCACUGCUGGUGGAUCAGGCUAAGGUAAAAUUUGUGAGUUCUGCUCGAAAGAGCAACGUGCGAAUUUUCGGCGAAUGUCGUCUUCACAGUAUAACCAGAUUGCUUGGGGUUAUAU
rnacentral:tRNA from 1 species